AACAGGACUGCUGCACAUUGGAUAAUUUAUGAGACAACUUGUUUCUCACAGUUCUGCGAGCUGGGGAAUCCAGAAGGUGGUGCUGGCAUCCGGAGGGGGCCUCGGCACUCUACAAGAACGCCAGAGAAGGGCAAGUGUGCAUGCACGCUACAGGGGAAAUUGUGUCAAAGACUCAGUCUUUAUCAGGGAUCUGCUCCCAUGAUGACUCAGCCCACAAAACAGCAGUGAUGCAUUGUUUGCUGUCAUGCCUUAAAGGACUCACCCCUUCAUACUACAACAUGUGUAUGUGUGUGUUAUAUGUAUGUGAUAUGUGUGCAUGUGAUAUGUAUAUAUGUGUGUGUGUGUGUGAAAGGCACCAGAUGUCCUGUAUCUGAACAAGGCAGCCCUGCCUGUGCUGCCUGACCCCUCUCCUCUGUCCCCUGCCUGCUCCACCUUCCCUAUCUGUCCUACCUACCUUGCCUGUGCCCCCUGCCUGCCUUGUCUGUGUUAGUUUCUCCCUGGUACCCUGCACAAUGCAGGCGUGGUUCCCCAGGCUCCUCUCCACGGGCUCCGGUGGCAUGACCGCAGCCUUAUGUUCCACUUGCACCUACGAUAACGAGCUCAGCCCCGGAGCAAAAAGAGCGAGCCCCGACACUUGUUAAAAAUGUGGGUGUGGGCUGUCUGCCCCCCUGAACCUCAGCGGUAGAUAGCGCUUCUGCUCAGCAAAGCCUUCAUCCAGGGAGGCAGCCCUUGGUGCUGAGCACAGAUCCAGCUGAUUACUGGCCGGGAAGACCUUACCCGUGCUCCGUCAUUCCAGCUAGCUCCUGAAGCGGCUGCUCUAGUCAGAUCUCAUCCUGCUGCCUGGAGCACAGUGAAGAUCAUGCUGACCAAGCAGCCUCAGGGUCUGCCUAGAAGAGACAUGAGUGGUGGGGGUCCUCACCUCUGCUCUCGGCAACCAUGCUGAAGAUGUGACGUGCAGUUCUGCUCAGACUCCAUCUUCACAGAGCCUCCACGUAACUGGCUGUUACAGCGGGGCUGCUUUCUCCCAAACAUCCACCAUUAUGAAGCCGUUGCCAUGGUGACUUACAGAUCACUUUAGCCUACAGUCCUGGCAAUGGAGCUGAGGCUGCUACUUUUCCUGUGGAAAGGGGCAUGAGGUGGAUUGUCACCAUUCCAUCCUGUCACCCCACUGUCAUCAGGACCUCCGUCCCAGUGAGAGUACCACCCACAGUGGCUGGACCCUCCCACAUCAAAUCAGAUAUCAAGAAAAUGCCCCAGAAGCCAAUCUGAUGGAGACAAUUCCUCAACUGAGUUUCCCUCUUCCCAGGUGUAUCAAAUUGAUGAAAACUAUGACACCCAAAUAAAUUCAUUGGUU